CGGGCUGGUCGAAAGACCCUGGUCCACCGAGAAGCGGGGGAAUCCCCC
rnacentral:sRNA from 12 species